rnacentral:lncRNA from 1 species
ACCCUAGAAGAUCCUAACUCUCGAAAGACAGAGAAGAAAGUUAUUAUAUUCUUUUUUUUUAUUUUUAUGCAAAUAUGUUAGCAGACAAGUUAUAUAAAAAAUACUCCUAACUAAGGUUAAUCCUGUGUAAAGACAGCUCCUAACUUUCAAGUUAGUUUUUUAGCACUCCAAGUUCAGAACUGACUAAUCAAGUCGACCAGAUAAGGAUAAGAUCAGUAGGAGGCUUUUCAUAUUUUUGCAAC